UGGCGAUGCUGUAGAUGUCGUCGGCGAAGUUGAUGACGAUGGCGUGGAUCUGUUCGACCAUCGGAUUUGAUUUGACAUUUCAAAGAAAUGUUGAAGGGUCCGAAGAAACGGGGAAUCAAAGAACCCCCUCCCCUCUUCUUUCGAAAGUAUCAAACCGGCGAUGUCGUUGAUGUCGUCGGUGAAGUUGAUGACGGUGGCGCGGAUUUGUUUGGCCGUCGGAUUUGAUUUGACAUUUUCGAAGAAAUGUUAAAGGGUCCAAAGAAACGGGAAAUCAAAGAUCCCCCUCCCCUCUUCUUUCGAAAGUAUCAAACCGGCGAUGUCGUAGAUGUCGUCGGUGAAGUUGAUGACGGUGGCGUGAAUCUGUUCGGCCAGCAAAUUUGAUUUGACAUUUUCAAAAGAAGUGUUGAAGGGUCCG
rnacentral:lncRNA from 1 species